GUCUGCGUAACUGGCGAAAAUGUGGAGCAAACCACAAGGGAGCGUAGAUGUAGCUGGCCGCAUUUCAAAUGUCUCCUACUAAAAGCCGUUCGCCUGGGCAC
rnacentral:ncRNA from 1 species